AUUAUGAUUUUUAACAAAACAUAUUUAAUUAAAACUUACUAUUAUUGUUUAACGGGAGCAAUUUGUAUUCUCCAUUUUUUAUCGACACAAGUAGCUUAGGUCGUUUGGCGCUAAGGAUAAACAAAAAAAAAGAUGAAUGUGUGAAAAAAGUCACAUCUUUCAUUGCACGGUAAAACACACCUGUCCAUGUUGGAAGUAUCACGUUUAUAAAGCGUUGUGAGCUGAACCAGAUAAUCGGGACACCGUGGCUCCGGCUGUACACGCAGGAACAGGUUCCCUCACGCUUGUUCCAUGCAGGAGUUCUAAACAAUUGGAAUUGCCUCAGCACACAAGCACAAACACAGAAAAAGUUCUAAAUAAACCAACACCGGCCUUACAAACAAAAGGAGCGUGUGUGCAGCGGAGAUGAGAUGAAGAGGAGUAGAAGAAGAAAACACAACCGAACCGAACCAAAGAAUAGCCGAACUGUGCGAAGGCGAAAAGCGAAGUAUAAACAAAAUGAGCCCGAGAGGAACAACCGGGACAACCUAGGAGAAAGAAGAAGGAAGAGGGUGAGGGAAAAAAGAUCGGUGGAAAGAGGGGGGAGAAAAAAGAGUCCGCCAAUUUUUUUGCACUGUGGUAGGCCACUCAGUAAUUUUUGGACAUUGCAUUACACCGUCAAUAAAAAAUAUACACCACUUGAAUGACAUCUGGCCAUAUCUGUCAAAAUCGGUCUAACCAUAUCGUUAAAAAGUCGGACUAUCGGCAGUCCGACGGGAAGACGAAAAGUUUUACCGAAAGACGUCUUUUGGCUGUCAUAUGCAGCCUGGGCGUACAGUAUCUCAUUGCGGCGGAACCUUACAAAUGUUAUUGCGCGGUCGAGUAAGGAAACGCGCAUCGGAUCGAUGGAAGAAAGGAGUAAGAACGAGGGGGGAGAAGAAGAAGCACAGAGAAAAACGCUGCACAUUCACUCAUACAUUCUUACAGCAGCAGGCAAUUCGCGAGAACAUGAAAUCGAGAGAGUAUAUUUUAACGCUCGCGAAUGAGUGCAAGCAGGUGCGGUAUAGAAGAUAGAGCAAGACAGCCCAGUUUUUGUUCAAGCUUGGUCCAAAAUGUUUCCUUGGGUAAUUCACUUACUUCUCAUUUCCUUCCCUUUCCCCUUCUCCUAGAACUCAUACAAAUGGAAUUCUAGAGAGAAGUGGAGAAGAGGGGAGGAAUCAGCUUUUAGCUCUCUGUCAAAAAAUAAGUCCAAAAUUGUCUGCCUUUGGGUACCAGUUUGGGUACUGAGAUAGGGCCCCAUCUCAGGUCCAUAGUUUUACCCAUUCAUCGCGUUUUGGACGUUUGGGUGGUAGAGGAGAAGCGGCAGGAAGGUAGGGACGAACAUCCAGCUUGCUAGCGCAGCACGUGGGAGCAGCGAGAGGGAGGCAGAGCUGGAUGAAAGGAAGAACGAGGAGAGAAGACAGGUAAGACGGGCACGUGUGUAUCCCGCACCGGUAUUAGGCAGUGUGAAUUGUGUGAGUAUGUACAUAUGUAUGUGUGAGUAAGAAGGUGAAAUAAAGAGCGUAAGCAUGUGCGGAAUCGACAAAUGAGAGUAAGAGUCUUUGUAGGGAGAAUGGAGAGAAUGAAAGAAAUUGAGAAGGGAUGUUGCAUACAUAAACCAAAUGUAUGAUACACGCAGUCGCACGGUUGCAAAAACCUUCUCUAUAGUUCUGCUAUCGAGAAUGAUUUGACCGCGCUAUACCCAACCAGCAUUAUCGCGCGAUUUUUAUGUGUAUCUAUCAUUUUUCUCAUUCUAACAUUCAAACAAUUUUUCAUUCUGCCUCGCUCUUCUGGGUGUUGGUCUGUAUUUGCUUGCGACUUGGCUGUGUCGCAUCAACGAUUCGCAUGUUUCAUUUAGCUCAUCCCUUUCCAUCGUUGGAGAGAAACUCUUGCGUCUCGCUUUUCUGGGACUUGUCCAAAUUCGCUUGCUACACCAAUCGUUCACGCAAGCGUUCUCCUCUCGCCCGCUCUUUGUAUCAUUGUACAGGUACUCCCCGAUAUACGCUAUCAAUGCGUACCGGAGGCAAUAGCGUAUCUCGAAUAUACAAUAGCGAAAGUCGAAUUUCGAGGUUUUCAGUCAAAUUAUAACUAAUAUCCGUAUAACUUUGCAUGAAGUGGUAGGUUUUAGCCACUUAAUUAGUUAUUUGAUCUAAUUUCAACUGAAUUUUUCAAUUUUAUACCAUUUGAAAUGGUUUUUAAUAUUCAACCAAAAUGGAAUUUAUUUUGCAUUUGACAUUCGAUUUCUAAAAUUAGUACUACUUGUUCAAAGAACCGUCAAAUUUAGAAAAAAAGCGUAUAGCGAAAUCGUGUAUAUCGAGUAUGGCGUAUAUCGGGGAAUACCUGUAUAGGAACACGAGGAAGGCGCUGCUUCGCGUUCACAUGAAAAUGUGGUAGUGUGAAAUCAAGUUUGCAAGCGGUAGGACGCGUCGGUGUGUGUCCGUUUUUUCUCUCGUGAAACCAGUACGGAAAAACUAUUUGAAAUCGUAACACACGCACGAACGGAAGUGAGCACGGACCACAACAGAAGCAAUAUUCAAUUGGUUGGAGUGCCGAAAACAGAACAGGAGAGGAAAGAAGGCAGGAACGAUUCGAUCCUCCAACGUGCUAGCGCCUGGUAGAGGAGAAGCGGCAGGAAGGUAGAGACGAACAUCCAGCUCGCUAGUGCAGCACGUGGGAUCAGCAAGAGGGAAGCAAGCAGGACGCGUACACACCAUUCGACGAAGGCAAAGCUGGAGGAAAGGAAGAACGAGGAGAGAAGGCAGGCAAGACGGGUACGUGUGUAUCCCGCACCGGUUUUAGGCAGUGUGAAUUGUGUGAGUAUGUAAAUAUGUAUGUGCGAGUAAGAAGGUAAAAUAAAGAGCGUAAGCAUGUGCAGAAUGGACAAAAGAGAGUAAGAGUCUUUGUAGGGAGAAUGGAGAGAAUGAAAGAAAUUGAACAAUAAUGUAGUAUACAGAAACUAGAUGUAUGAUACACGCUGUCGCACCGUUGCAGAGACGUGCUCUUUAGUGCUGCUAAUGAGCACGAUUUGAGAACGUUUUGAGCCCGUUUUUUCUCAUACAAAAUUUUAAAAUGUCGCGCGAUAAUGUCGGUUGGGUAGAGAACAUUUCUUCAGUACAAAAAAAAACGGUUGCAACGUGACAAUGUCGGUUGGGCAGUGGUUUGUGGCGUUAUCAGAUGUGUUCCACGAAAGAAUUUAUUUUUGAAGAAGGUAAGCUAAUCACUAUACAUAUCGUUCAAUUUUUUCCACAAUCAAGAUUUAGUUAUGAACAGGCAUGUCUAGAAUAAUAUAAAAACAUAUUUUUAAUUAAAAACGUUGACCUAACUCUACAAAAUGCAUGCCUUCAAUCGAUG